rnacentral:rRNA from 1 species
GACGAACGCUGGCGGCGUGCCUAAUACAUGCAAGUGGGACGCAAGGACACACACUGUGCUUGCACACCGUGUUUUCUUGAGUCGCGAACGGGUGAGUAACGCGUAGGUAACCUGCCUAUUAGCGGGGGAUAACUAUUGGAAACGAUAGCUAAUACCGCAUAAUAUUAAUUAUUGCAUGAUAAUUGAUUGAAAGAUGCAAGCGCAUCACUAGUAGAUGGACCUGCGUUGUAUUAGCUAGUUGGUAAGGUAAGAGCUUACCAAGGCGACGAUACAUAGCCGACCUGAGAGGGUGAUCGGCCACACUGGGACUGAGACACGGCCCAGACUCCUACGGGAGGCAGCAGUAGGGAAUCUUCGGCAAUGGACGAAAGUCUGACCGAGCAACGCCGCGUGAGUGAAGAAGGUUUUCGGAUCGUAAAGCUCUGUUGUAAGUCAAGAACGUGUGUGAGAGUGGAAAGUUCACACAGUGACGGUAGCUUACCAGAAAGAGACGGCUAACUACGUG